GGAACAUACAACGCGUGUAAACAAGUCAAAAGGUCAAAAUAAAAAAAAUGAAUACGGAAUCGGCCAUGAAUAGUAACCGACACGUCAAAACCCAACCAAACAUCAAGCAAAUAUUUACAUGUUGAAAUUAAGCAUAUACAAUCUAAAGUGGCAUACAAAAGUUAAUCAAAAGUGGAUACAUGCAUGGUUUGCCAAAUUAAAAGUGAAACAGAUCCAAAAGUACAUUUAGGGUUUCAAUCAAUGAGUUAUACAAAAGAUAUGUCCAACUAGCUCAAUUCGGCACCCAACUAUCAAUUGUAGUCCAAAAGUAUUUAUUUUCCUGUAAGAAAAACAAAAGGAAUAGGGUGAGCUUACGUCCAGUGAGAUAAUACAACUCAAGCAGCAAAGUUUACAUAAGCAUAAAGCUUUUCAUUCCAAUUCAUCAAAAGUAAACAAAGGCACAUAUCAAAAGUGGUGAUAAAAGGAUACGGGCGGCUCUCAAGAGCCCUUUUUCUCGUUUGCAUUCUUGAUCGAAGCUCAUUGACCCUCCGUCAAUGUUUAAGAGUAACCAACCGUAGACUCCACUUUACUUCCAUUCCUUCCACCCAACAUAUCCCUACCGGACCCGAAUUCCAAACACUUGCAAUGUGGUAUUAUUCGAGUAUAUCGGAAUUGAGAGUUUCAUACUACAAGAUUCCAUAUAACAGUUUUCCAAGGCUCAUUAAUUGUCACGACCAAGCUCUCGCUGGCUUGAUUCAAUCAACUAUCAAUGGGGUUGAACUCAAUGGUAACAAGCAUGGUCGUUGGAUACUCGUUCAAACGCCACCAAUUCAAUUACUUUCAUUUCAUGUAACAUUUCAAUCAUGGUAAACAAUAAUAUAAGACACAUGAGAGUGAUCAAGUACACCCUCACUUCAAACAAUAUUCAACGCAUCAAAUUCAAGUACAUCAAAGCCAUAUAGUAACACACAAGUGAGUAGUACACUUAUCAAGCUUGAAAAUGAUAUUUCAUGCACCUCCGUCAAAGGAGCGUUGUGAACCACCGUCAAAGGAGCGUUAUGAACCACCGUCACGCUCUAAAACAUGCAAACAAGUACAAUGAGACUCGAUAACGAGUCAUAAACCAAUGCCAAAUACUACCAAAAUAGUGUUCCAUAAGCAUACAUAAGCAUUAGAGGAAACCCAAAAAAUCCAGAAAUGGAGUUAAGUGCUCACAAAAAAAAAACAGUUUUUGACAUCAUUUUGUGGUUUUGGCACCAAAGGCACUACGAUUAUCGGAUGAAGGUGCAAAACACACCGUUUCGAAACUAAAAGAUAGGGCUACAAUAUUGCAGAAGGUCACUCAGUCCAGUUUUGAGUGUAACCAGGUCAAAAAUGCAAUAUACUACACCAGAACCGCAAAAACAGGUUCACAAAUCGCAUUCUGGUGCAAACAUCAUAAAUCAGGCUACCUAAGUCCAAAUUCAGUAAUUCCAAAGCCAUCCGAAAGCUAAGAAACAGGGCUACAAUUCAUCAAAAGACCUCAACAAUCAAUUCCGAAGCAUUCCCAACCAAAAUAACCCAUUACAGAAGCAAUUCUCAAAUUCGGGUAAAAUCAGGGCAGCAAGGGUAAUUCCGUCUUUUCUCAAGAUACGCUACUCCGAUUGACCUGAAAUUUUGCAGGCAUCUCUAAAAUAUCAUUCCCUACAACUUUCAUGUUUUAACCCAAGGCCAAUUCGGCCCCUAACUAUGAGCUACAGUGCCGGGCAGAAUGAAGAACAAUGAAACCCUAACCUUUCAAUUUUCUUUCCAAAACAGAAAUUGCUUGCAAUUAACCACUUUUUCCACCUUCUAGCUUCCUUAAAUACUAUUUCCAAUCAUCAUACAUGGCUACACCAUAAUAAUCAUAUUAAAACAGAAAUCACAUGAUUAAAUAGAAAAAUGUCAUCAAUCUCAACUCAAAUCAUGAAGUAGCACCAAUAAUUAUCACCUCAACUCACAUAAGUUACUAAUUAAACAUUAUUGGAAGGAAAAGAGUAGUUUCUUAGUCACUCACCUUAUAACACAAGAUAGGAAGCAAUUCAACUAUUCCAGGUCUAGUGCCUUCCUUUCACCAAUUUCGUCCCAACCGGCAUUUUCGUCCAUAUAGUGCCUCGUAUGGAGCCAUUUGAAUCGACGAAUGGUAGCUGUUGUUGUACGCAAACUCUACUAAGGUCAUGUGUUGACCUCAGUUGCCUCCAAAAUUCAGAAUGCAAGUCCGUAGCAUGGCCUCGAGAGUUUGGAUGGUUCGCUCCGAUUGUCCAUCCGUCUGAGGGUGAUAGGUCGUGUUCAAAUUGAGUUUCGUAUCCAGGGUUUCUUGGAACUUCUGCCAAAAUCGAGAUACGAACCGGGGAUCUCUAUCGGAAACGAUACUCACAGGAACGCCGUGUAGCCUCACGAUCUCAUCCAUGUACAGUUGGGCCAACUUGUCCAUGGAGUACUUCAUGUUUACUGGCAAGAAAUGGGCCGAUUUGGUUAAUCGAUCGACGAUCACCAAAACGGCAUCGUGCCCUUUUUGCGUCCGCGGCAAACCUGAAACGAAGUCCAUGGAUGGAAGAGGCUCAAGAAAAAGUCAAGUUGAUACGGCAACGACUCCAAACUGCUCAAAGUCGACAAAAGAGUUACGCAGACAAUCGAAGAAAAGACUUGGAGUUCGAAGUUGGAGAUCGUGUUUUCCUCAAGGUUACACCGUUACGGAGUGUCACGACGGGUAGAGGAAAGAAAUUGCAACCGAGGUUCGUCGGACCUUACAAGAUCCUGCAGAGGAUAGGUGCGGUAGCAUAUAGACUAGAGCUGCCGUCAAGUCUCUCUAGAAUUCACGACGUCUUCCACGUUUCGAUGUUAAAGAAGUACUAUCCCGAUCCAUCCCAUAUCUUACAAUCCGAGGAGAUCGACGUAGACGAAUCGCUUUCUUACGAAGAGAAACCUGUCCAAGUGCUUGAUCGGAAAGUUAAAGAGCUAAGAAACAACCGGAUUCCGUUGGUUAAGAUACUGUGGAGAAACCAUGGGAUAGAGGAAGUUACUUGGGAGAUGGAAGAGGAAAUGUGAAAGAAAUACCCUGAACUUUUCGUGAGUUGAGGUUAGAAAUUUCGAGGGCGAAAUUCUUUUAAGGGGGAGAGAGUGUGAGAACCCGUAAUUUUUUUUCAUUUCCUAGGUUUUAUUAUAUUCAAUGGCUUGUUUUUUGCAUUUUCGUAAUUAGGAAAAUUUCUAGAUACUUUUAAUGAGCACAUAUAGUUUUUAGAUGAUUUUUCUAGUAUCAAAUAGUUUUUGAGAAAUUUAGAGCGUAUACCGGACGUGGGACCCACUAGGACGAAAAGUUCGGAAAAAUUUGGCUAGUUAGGUUAAGUUUUGGAUACUGAAUUUAAUUUAUCGAGUGUUAUGAGAUAAUGAGAGGUUACCAAGUGGAUUAGUGUAAGAGAGACAAAAGUUAGGCAAACAAUUAAUGAAAGUGACAAGUGUCACUUAGAGAUUCAUUACCAUUUUUGACCACUAUUCAUUCUCUUACCAAUUUAUCAAAAUAACUCAAAAAGUUGACCCAAAAAUCCCCAAAAUUUGCAAGCUCAUGGCCGACCCUCUCUAAGGAGAAAAGAAAAGAAAAGCUCUCCAAAAUUUUGCUCCAAUUUUGCUCAAUCUUCAACUUCAACCGGUUAAAUUUGUAAUUGCUCCAUAAAUCUCCUCCACUUAGUGAUUUUAAGGUGAUUGGUGAAGUUGUUUGGAAAGUUAAGGUGUUGAAUUGCUUCCUAUCUUGUGUUAUAAGGUGAGUGACUAAGGAACUACUCUUUUCCUUCCAAUCAUGUUUAAUUAGUAACUUAUGUGAGUUGAGGUGAUGAUUAUUGGUGCUAUUUCAUGAUUUGGGUUGAGAUUGAUGACAUUUUUCUAUUUAAUCAUGUGAUUUCUGUUUUAAUAUGAUUGUUAUGGUGUAGCCAUGUAUGAUGAUUGGAAAUGAUAUUUAAGGAAGUUAGAAGGUGGAAAAAGUGGUUAAUUGUAAGCAAUUUCUGUUUUGGAAAGAAAAUUGGAAAGUUAGGGUUUCUUUGAUUUACAUUCUGCCCGGCACUGUAGCUCAUAGUUAGGGGCCGAAUUGGCCUUGGGUUAAAACAUGAAAGUUGUAGGGAAUGAUAUUUUAGAGAUGCCUGCAAAAUGUCAGGUCAAUCGGAGUAGCGUAGCUUGAGAAAAGACGGAAUUACCCUUACUGUCCUGGUUUUACCCGAAUUUGAUAGUUGCGUCUGUAAUUGGUUAAUUUGGUUGGGAAUGCUUCGGAAUUGGUUGUUGAGGUCUUCUGAUGAAAUGUAGCCUUGUAUCUUAGCUUUCGGAUGGCUUUGGAAUUACUGGAUUUGGACUUAAGUAGCCUGAUUUAUGAUGUUUGCACCAGAAUGCGAUUUGUGAACCUGUUAUUGCGGUUCUGGUGUAGUAUAUUGCAUUUUUUACUUGAUUACACUCGAAAUUGGGCUGAGUGACCUUCUGCGAUAUUGUAGCCCUAUCUCUUAAUUUCGAAACGGUGUAUCUUGCACCUUCAUCCGAUAAUCGUAGUGCCUUUGGUGCCAAAAUCGCAAAAUGAUAUCAAAAACUGUUUUUUUGGGUGAACACUUAACUUCAUUUCCGGAUUUUUCUGAUUUCCUCUCAUGCUUAUGUAUGCUUAUGGAACCCUAUUUUGGUAGUAUUUGGCAUCGGUUUAUGACUCGUUAUCGAGUCUCAUUGUACUUGUUUGCAUGUUUUUGGGUGUGACGGUGGUUCACAACACUCCUUUGACGGAGGUAUAUGAAAUAUUAUUUUCAAACUUGGAGAGUGUACUACUCACUUGUGUGUUACUAUAUGGCUUUGAUGUACUUGAGUUUGAUGCGUUGAAUAUUGUUUGAAGUGAGGGUAUACUUGAUCACUCUCAUGUGACUUAUAUCAUUGUUUACCAUGAUUGGAAUGUUACAUGAAAUGAAAGUAAUUGAAUUGGUGGCGUUUGGACGAGUAUUCAACGACCAUGCUUGUUACCAUUGAGCUCAACCCCAUUGGUAGUUGAUUGAAUCGAGCCGGCGAGGGCUUGAUCGUGACAAUUAAUGAGCCUUGGAGAACUGUUAUAUGGAAUCUUGUAGUAUGAGAGACUCUCGAUUCCGAUAUACUCGAGUAAUACCACAUUGCAAGUGUUUGGAGUUUGGGCCCGGUAGGGGUAUGUUGGGUGGAAGGAAUGGAAGUAAAGUGGAGUCUACGAUGGGUUACUCUUAAACAUUGACGGAGGGUCAAUGAGCUUCGAUCAAGAAUGCAAACGAGGAAAAGGGCUCUUGAGAGCCGCCCGUAUCCUUUUAUCACCACUUUUGAUAUGUGUCUUUGUUUACUUUUGAUGAAUUGGAAUGAAAAACUUUAUGCUUAUGUGAACUUUGCUGCUUGAGUGGUAUUAUCUUAUUGGGUGUAAGUUCAUCCUAUUCCUUUUGUUUUUCUUACAGGAAAAUAAAUACUUUUGGACUGCAAUUGAUAGUUGGUUGCCGAAUUGAGCUAGUUGGAUAUAUCUUUUGUAUAGCUUAUUGAUUGAAACCCUAAAUGUACUUUUGGGUCCGUUUCACUUUUGAUUUGGCAAACCAUACAUGUAUCCACUUUUGAUUAACUUUUGUAUGCCACUUUGGAUUGUAUAUGCUUAAUUUCAACAUGUAAAUAUUUGGUUGGGUUUUGACGUGUCGGUUACUAUUCAUGGCCGACUCCGGAUUCAUUUUUUUUAUUUUGACCUUUUGACUUGUUUACGCGCAUUGUAUGUUCCGGAACGUAUUAGAUCGCUCUAAACUGAACCGUUAGUCCUGGCGAGAGUUGGGUAGGCAGUCCGCUAACCCCUUUGGUUCGCCUUAGGGGACGGUGGGGCUGUCACAUAAUUCAUAACCGAAACAGGGUUUGCCGAUAUUAAUAUUGAUACUUGAGUCGUCUGUGGACCUAUUUCGCAAUUCCAUGAACAUGACCUAUUCCAUGCGACACUUCUUCACAACCAUAAAACAUUCUUUCAGAUCUCUCUUAUCUGCCAUAUUUUCUAAUACAACAUUUGACUCCGCAAUGCACACUUGUACUCCUUACAAUGCACUCAGUUAUAGGACCCAUCACCAUUCAGGCUUCUAAGACACGCGUAGGACUGUGGUCGCGUCCUUUCAAUUUAGUUUCAUUCUUCAAUUCUAAGUUUCCGCUCAUUGUUAUCCAUGUGGCACAAUUUAGUGCAAUCUAGCAGUACACGGCAGUAAUUUAGGAAUUAUGCACCCCAAAUAAUUGAAAUUCAAAUUUCAAUUUCAAGAGAAAAUUAUGCCUUUUCAACUAUGUGCCUGAUUUUUUUUUUGACAUGUACGUCUCACAUGACAAAAAGUCGCCCAUAGCCUUUGGCCACGUGACAAAAAAGUUCAUGAGGAUUUAUGUAGUUCCGAAGAAUGGCACGUGCAGGUUCAUUACAGAAUUCGAUGGUUUUGUUCAUAGCAGUUGAUGAGUUGAAGGAGCCCCUGAAUCAAGGCAAAGAGAAAGAUGAUAAAUAUAGUUCAGUGGAGAGCAAUUGAGUCUGUUGUUGACACAUAAUAGUUGUGGAACAAGUGGGUUCCACAAGUAUUAGAUACGAUCGCCUCGUAUUUUAUGAAAUUAAUGUAAUGUACUAAUAGAUAUAUAGGGACUUGAUGUAAUAAUGUCAUGUGUAUUUUAAAAUUGAAAUUUGAAUAUUAAUACAUGUCAUCUUUGUACCUAAUGCAUUCAAAUUGAAAAAAUGCAUUUUUACAAUCAGUCCAUAGAUUGGGUAAUGAAUUAUUUACUAAUUUUAGUGUAAUUGGACUGAAAAUGUUAUAAUUAUUGAUUUGUUUCGUAAUAAGUGUCCGGACUCUACUGUUGAUCCUGUUGGGAUGCACAUCCUUCAAUGUUCAGGAAGUUUGGAUUCAAAACUGUGCCCACGUGAUGUUGAGAUGUUUUUUUCAGAUGUUAUAAUUUGCUCAUAUUACAUCGAUCAAUUGGCCGGUGUGGUUUGAAACAUAUUGAAAUAGAGGGGAUCUUUUUGGACUUCUCGUAAAUAACUUUAUUGCAGUAUUAAUGCUAAGAACCUAGUGCUUGUCGUGGCAUCCAUUUUGGUAUAGCAAGUAACAGCCACAGUUGAACUUAAUUCGUUUCUUCUGCUUGCGUCUCUUGUACUGGUGGUGUUUGAUUUUGAUGUUCGGUGGUGAAUAAUGGCGUUUGUAAGAAGUACAAGAUUGCAUUCUAUUUUGUCCAAUUGAUGAGAUCAUUUCGAUAUGAUGCGUUUGAUUAAUCACAAUAAGAGGAGUUGGGACUAAAAUUACAGAGCACGAUUGUUGAAAUUUUCUCUUUUAUCCUUUUGGCUUUUGCAUAUUUUUUAUUAGAGGAUUAAUCUCGUUGGGUUUAUAAAUUUUUUCCAAUCUUUCAGGAAUUGAAGAUUGACGUUAUCAGUGACGCUAUACUAGGCAUUGUCAUAGUGAUGGAUUAGGUCAAUAUGACCAGUGUAAUAGUUAUGGGUAUCUGAUUUUAGACUUGGUUCAACAGGUCUUUGCUGCUCAACUUGGGCCUUUGAUGAUAAUUGAUAUGGGCCUAUGUGCCUUCCUUUAUGACAAGUUACAUUCUGGACCGUCCAUUGAGCUAAUGUCUCGAACAUUUUGGGCUAGUGGAAAAUUGGCCCGAUAAGGUUUCAGUGGCUUCGCAAAUGUUCAAUCUUAAUUAUUUGAUAUUUUGUCGUAUUGUAUAAUGAACAAGCGAGGAUUGCUUGUCUUGAUAAUAUCAAGUGCCAUUGUCUUGUCUUCCUUAGCAAGCGCAGUGGUAUAUACUUCCCUAAUUUGUCGGAAUUGCGUUUGCUCCAACUAUUUGGUUGAAUAUUACGCCAUUCGAUGAAAUUUUCGUAUUUGUAAAUGUAAUUCCAAACAAUGAAUAAAUUGCUAGCGCCUUGUACGUUUGGAUGGAAGAUGAAAUGUGUAGAUGUCGAUUAGAGGUAAAAAAAAUCUCGGAUUCUUUGUGUGACAUUUAAUUGCGAAUUGGAAUAGAUAGUGAAGAUGAGCAAAACCAUUUUGGUGGGUUUCCUGAACAACUCGGAUAUAAACAAGCGAAAUAAAGAACUGGAUGCGCUUAAUUGAAUCUAGAAUUUGACUUUUGGUAAGAAUACAUCUAUUUUAAGUGAAGAAGAUGUUCUUGGUGUUGAUGAGGAAGAAAGAAGGUGUUCUUGGCAUUUCGAUGGUCAUGUCAGCUUGAUAACAUUACCCAACUCAUGGAAAUUAUUUCAAUAUAUGGGUAUCUUUGGUGGACUUAUAUAUUCUCGUCUUUUCGAAUGGUUAUAAUAUUACGAAACCAUUCGGUACGGACACGUAUGAUGGAUUGGUUGGACACGUGUCAGACGAACGGUUAGGAUUACUACAAGGAGUAUGAAAUAAAACCUAUAUUGCAAUUGAGGAGUAUGGACAGUCGGAUGGAUGAAAAUUAUGUGGUGGUCACAUAGACCUAUUUAUAUCUUAGGCUUUCGGACCUCCAAUCGUCAACUACUCAUUUUAUUUUCCAUCUAAAUGUACAGAGCACUAGAAAUUUAUUCGCAGUUUAGGAUUAUAACUUCAAAUAUGGAGAUUUCAUUGAAUGAGAUAAUUUUCGACUAGGUGAUCUGAGCAGACGGAGCUCCAACAGAUUAAGAAAAGUUUAGACCAUUGCGCUUGUUAAAAAAAGAUAAGACAAUGAAAUUUGACAUCAUCACGACAGGCGAUUCUCGCUCAUUCAUCAUACAUUACGCAAAAUGUUAAGCAAUUUGAAUUGAAUAUUCACGAAACCAUUGGAAUCUUAUUGGGUCAAUUUUUCACUGAUUCAGAAUGUUCCAAACAUAUUUGUCCAAUGAGCGGCUCAGAUCGUAACUUGUCUUGAAGAAAAGCCACAUUACAUGAACAGGGUAAGGGCCAUUCUUAGAAUCAUAAAAGGAUUUAAGAGUAGAGUAAAGAAAUGGGUCCUAGACGAACUGCUACUAUGAACUUCAGGUGGUUGAACCAACUAUCGAUCAAUAAUAUAACGAGAAAAUAAAGAAAGUAAAGAACUAAGAUUAUAUAGGCGGCUUAGCUGACCAUUCACAAGACAACAAUUUGUUUAAAUGAAGUUUAUUAAAGAUGUUUAGAAACUUAAAAAAUUGAGGAAAGCUUGAUCGUCACUUGAUCCAAUUUUGCUCCCAAGUUACAACCUAAACUACUUUAUAUUCUAAAAAUAAGAAGGAUUUCUUCAAUUUAGAGAGAGAAGUUAGCUGAAGAAAUGGUGUGUGUAGAAAGGUGAGUUUGAGGGGUAUUUAUAGUAAAAUUUUCGUUUUGCUAUGGUACCCAUUACACUGCUGUUAUAAUGCAUGCUACAGUGUACAAUGCUGAUUUUCUUGCCGUGAUUGUACAGUAGCUUGUCGGAUUACUACAGUGUUAUCCGAUCCUACAGUGAAUUCCAAAAGUACUAUUUACAAUUGUUUAUUUUUUAAAAUUUAUGAGAAAAUUUCAUAACAAUCAUUUUCAUUUUGUUGUAGUCCAUCAAACUUUCUUCUGAAUUUAAGGACUUUGGGUCUUGUUUAAGUACUUGUGACUUUCCUUUUGAUUGUAGUUGCGAAAAGAUCUGUUGGACCGAUUAGACAUAUGCUUAUUUAUUUGUGAUUGAGGUUAGUUUUGCUGUUGUUAUGGACUCCUACUGCAAAAACUAGCUUGUCUGUGGGUCGCCUAAUUUGAUUGAUUUUGGGUUCUUUUGGAACCAUGUUUUAAUGUUUGUUAGUUGAAUGAAAUCUUUAGUAAAUACUGGUCACCAUUUUGUAUAUCCUUGCCGGACAAGGAGCUGAGAAAAUUGAGCUUGUUUGAGGAAUUCAUACUUCCACUGAUAUACCCAUGCUAUUGAAAAAAAUUUAAAAUAGUGUAGGCUGAUGGGAAUAUAAUUGUUUAGUAGUUCAAAUCUUUGUUCGAAUAGUUGGUAUCCUUCCCUCAUAUCUGGUGGGAAGAUUUACAGGUUUGGUCAAUGUGUAUUCCAUUAGAUUACAAAUUAAGCUGUAAAAUUAUACUUGUUUAUCUUUAUAAAAUAAAUAGGUACAGAUACAUAUGGACCAAAAUGAAUUGGUUUAGAUCCUUUUUAGUCUAGUUUAGUUUAUUCUAGAAUCCUGCUGUGUCGACUUAGGAUGUCAGUAAGGUUAUAAGUGUUAAGAAAUCUAUGGUCUUUGGUUAGUGGGUUUGAGGAAUGGGCAAUCAACCUGAGAAGUCCAUGCCUUUUCAUUCUAGAAUAAACUAAACUAGCAUUCAUACCUAUUUUAGUUUACAAAGACAAACAAGUACAAUUUUACUACUUGGUUUGUAACAUGAUGGAAUGUACAUGGACCAAAAUUGCAGAUGCUUCCACCAGUUGUGAAUGAAGGAUACCAACUACUUGAACUAAAGUUUGAACUACCAAAUAGUUAUAUUCUCAUUAGUCUACACAAUUCUAAAAUAUUUUCAGUAAUAUUGAUAUAUCAAUGGAAAUAUGAAUUUCUUUAACAAACCCAGUUUCCUCCGCUUCUUGUCCAGCAAGGGUAUACAAAAUAGUGACCAACAUUUAUAAAAGAUUUCAUUCAGCGAGUAGAAAUUCAAGCAUGGUUUUAAAAGAACUCAAAAUCAAUCUAUCCAGGAGACCCACAGAGAAGCCAGUUUUUGCGGCAGAAGCCCAUAACAGCAGCAAACUAGCCUCAAUCACAAAUAAAUAAGAAUAUGUCUAAUAGCUCCAAUAAAUCUUUUCUCAACUACAAUUAGAAGGAAAAUCAUAGAUACCUAAACAAAAGCCAAAAUCCUCAAACUUAGAAGAAAAUUUUUCACGGUUUGCAAUAAAAUGAAGAUGACUGUUAUGAAAUUUUCUCACAAAUUUCAUAAAAUGAACAAUUGUAAACAGUACUAAUGGAAUUUGAAAACAAGCCUAUGGAUGAACUCGAAAGAUGAAUUACCAAUAUUGAACAAUCUUUCAUCACUCUUAUCAACAAACAAAAGUUAACGGAACAAGUCUCAGCCUCUAUUAACAAUUCUGUCAAACAAUUAGCCUGUAUUUUGAAAAAAUCAACAUUUCCUAUAGUUAAUCUUGUCAAACAGCCAACCUGUAUUUUGAAAGAACCUUUACCAGAAUUUUUUGCAUCAGUUGAUCAAUCCCUUAAACAAUCAACUUGUGUUCUAAAUGAAUCUACUUUAGAACCCUUAGCUUCCUCUUCAAACUAGGCAGCCAAACUCAAUUUGAUCAAACCUUCUCAUAAACCUAACUCCAAAUUGGAAGAAUCCCCAAAAACUCUAUUGUUCUAGGGAAAUUAAUUCUGAUGUCCUUCUAGAAGAAAGACCAAACAUUCUUCUAAACUCCUACAAUGUAAAUAAUAUCUGUAAAUGAAGCAGAGAUGGAAUUUCUGUAUAUAAUAUAAUCGCUGUCCUCCAACAAAUGAUGAUGGUAGCUAUGACAUACCACGUAACUCAUGGAUGUACCAAUCAACUUGCAACUCAUGUUCUCAUAAUCGAGUUCAUAGGAUAGCUCACAAUUCUGGGAUGCCUCAAUUAUGUUGCAGAAUUCAUCCCAAACCUUAGUAACUUAACCAAAUCUUUGUAUAAUAGUCUUAGUAAAUCGCCACACUUGUGAAUAGAUAAACACACUAACAUAAUCUACAAAAUCAAGACUCAUAUAAAAUCCAUUCCUUGUCUUUCUUUUCCUCAUCCUAUGGCCCAAAAAAUAGUUGAAACAAAUGCCUUAGAUAUUGGCCAUGGCAGUAUUCUAAAAAAGUCCAAAAAUGGCAAAGAACAUAUUAAUGCCUUCACUUCUAGGCAUUAGAAUAAUUUCUGACAAAACUACUCCACUAUUAAAAAGGAAGUUUUAGCUAUUGUCUAAUGCAUUUCAAAAUUUCAAGUAGAAUUAUUAAAAUCAAAAGUAUUUGUCAAGAAUAGACUGUAAAUUAGUAAAACAUGUUUUAGAAAAAGAUGUUGAAAACCUUGCUUCAAAACAAAUUUAUGCUAGAUGGUAAGCAAGUUUGUUAGUAUUUGGUUUUGAUAUCAAGUGUAUUAAAGGAUCUUCUAACUCUCUUCUUGAUUAUCCAACCCGUGAAUUUUCGUAACAAAGAUAAUGUCUAAGAAGAAGAAACAGCAAGAUGCCCUUGAGGCACAGGAAGCCUCAACCUCAUCUAUCCAAUAAAUUAUACCAAAAACAUCAAGUUCACCUGAAUUUUUAAACUCUUCACAAACCUCUAGAAAGGCUGAAAAACAAUCUCUCAUAUUACAAUUGUUCGGAACUCCUUUGACCCUAUAUCAACCAAAUCCUUACUAACCCUUUCCCAAAAAACAUGGGUUGAUAUUGUUGAAGAAGGAUAUGAUCCAACCUUACCAACCAUGAACAUCCGAAAAUAGGUCAAAACAAUGGGCCUCUCAAGCCUUUUGUCUAAAACCCAAAUAGCACCACACAAAUAAAGGGUUCAACGAAAGCCCUCUUCAAACACCUUAUCUUGUCAUUACUUCAAAAUAAAUGGCCCAAUAACCCUUAUGUAAAUUGAAUCGAAUACAUGGCAAAAUGAUCCAACAGUUAUUGCCACAGUUGUCCUUCCUCCAAACCAAAACUCUAUACCUCAAAUUUUGACAAAAUUCCUCUAAUACUAUAAGAAAAUAUUAACUGAUUCUCAUUUUGUUUCCCUUUAAACCCUAUACAGCAGAGAUAAAGGAUAAAAUUAAAGAAAAAAGAAUGAUUGAUACUCACUAUUGUGCACACUUAAAGUUAUCAGGCCCUCAAAAUAAGGAACCAACUUUGGUCAUCCAAGGUCCUUUACAAAAUCGUUCAACCCAAUAGGAUAAAUUUAUUGGGAUUACAAGGCGCAUGGUUUCAUAUUUUCUCUUAUCAAAAUGAAAUAAAUAAACACUCUUUCUUAUUCUAUUUCAAAAAGACAAACACAUACCAUUUUUCUAGUAUGAUUCGUUAAUUGGUGGAACUCACAUGGACCUAACCUAGAGGUACUUCCCAUAGAUGUUCAAACAAGAUGCAAACCUUUUGAAAAUAGAUUUGAGCUCCCUGACUAUUACAUCCCCAUCAAUUUACAUUGCUUCUCAAUUUUCUUUGUAGUUUGGGUGUUCAUAUGGAAGUUCAAAUUUAUCAUGCAAACUUGGCUUCCUCCUACGCUAGUCAGAUAGGUCCAUACUAAGUGGUGGCAAGCCUACAAAGGAGCAAUUCAAUUAAAUUAUAUUUAGGAAUGGUUCUAGAAAAAUUCCAAAGCUCUCAAGCCUAGAGAUCUACAAACUAGCCAAUUUUUUCAACAAAAUCCUUGGCAGCCGCAAAAAUUGCAUCAAUCACAGAUAAGAAAGAAUACAUUGAGUAGCUCAAGAGGACCUUAGCUCAACUUCAACCAUCACCAUUCAAAACAAAGAUAAAGCAUCAAGCUUCUACAAACAAAAAUCAACCUUAGCAUUGGAAGAAAGUGAAGAAUAACUGAACGAAGAAGAUUUGUUCUCGCAAAUCUCAUAAAAUUCAUCAUUGUAGUACCAAAAAUUAUUGUAGUAAUCCAACAAGUUACUAUGCAAACAUGGCAAGAGAAAACUGUACUGUACACUGUAGCACACACUAUAGUGAUAUUGUACAUUGUAGUGGGUACUAUAGUUGAAUGAAAAUUUUGCUAUAAAAAUUCCUUGAACUCACCGUUUCAAACACACUAAUUCUUCAGCUCACUUCUCUGUCGAAGUUAAGGAAUUCUCUCCUCCUUCUCACAAGAAAACAUUUAGGCUUUAUUUUGGAGUCUAAUUUCGAUCAAGUUUCGAUUAAGCUUCAUUCUUGUAACUCUCUAAACACCAAAGUUCAAUAAUUUUUUUUAAAGUUUGUCUUAUAUUAUUAUACUGUGAAUGGUUGGCUAUGCCAUCUAAAUACUCUUGUUAUUUAUUUUUCUUAUUUUCUUGAUAUUAUACUUGCUAUUAAUGGCCGGUUCAAUCGCUUGAACUUAUAAUGUUAGUCCGUUUGUGAUUCACUUCCUUAUUUUGUUUUAGUUGCUCUGUUUGGGCUUAUAGGGACUCCUUCUAGUCCUGCUUUGAUAUCAGAGCUAGAUGGGGAAGCGGAAUGGUAAGUAUGUUUCUUGACUUGUUAUGAUAUUUCUGGUAUGUACCUACGAGCUUAGAUCUUGUUGAUGAACAGUAAGCCUUAGAAGGCUUAUUGGGUCGCUCUGGUAUUAAGACCGUGAGAUUUGGCCGUAAGACCUGUAGGCAUGUUGAAACCCUUGGAGAAUGAUAGUACCCGUGAUGGUGAAUUGUUCUAAAAUUCAGAUCCAAUCUUUUAUAUUCAUAUUAUUUCUGUCAUAAUUUGUCUAAAGAGUAUAGUUACCUUCAUGGAUCCUGAAGGAUCUGUACCAAGGGGAAGGGUACUCCUACAUAUCAGUAUCUUGUUUUGUUAAUUUUUGUCGAUUAUUUUCCGAUCUAUUUGUCUAUCCUUAUUAACUUUUGCCUGUUAUUUACUUGUUUACUUCUUGAUGGCUUCUUUCUUUAGAUCCAAUUCUAAAAACACUAUUUCUUCAAACAUCUCUUCUCAAAACAUUCAUUUAAAGAAGAGAUCAAUUUGUAGGAUAUUAAUCAAGAAAUAGAUAAUUGAAAAUUUUCUAGGUAUCAAGAAACUGAAAUAUAUCAAAGUAAUAAAUGAUAGAGAAUCACUAUUGAUUAUACAAUUAAAACAAUUGAACAAAUUAUAGUUUUAAAUUCUGAUCGUGAAGAAAUUAAACUCUUAACAAAGAAAGCUGUUGAGAGAUAUCAACAAAAAUACAACUACAACCACUUUGAACUUGUAAAAAUUGCAAUUAAACCCCUGACAAGAGAAGGACUGGACACAUCUCUACUCCUUUUUCUUCGAGAUUGCAGAUUCCUAAAUUUUCAUUGCUUGGAAUGACUGAAACAGGUCUAUGCAGAGAACUAGUUUAUUUUGACUGCUUCAAACUUUACAGUGUCCCUUCAAGAUAGUAGCAUUUUGAAGCUAUAAUUUGCAAGAUUCAAUACAUGGUGAUGAGUUUAGCAUUUAGCACUAGAGCCUUGAAGACAACUAAAAAAGAAGAAACAAUACUUUUCUAAAUAGAUCUAGCUAACUCUAGGAUAUCUAUUCCUAAAAUCAUCACAUGGGAUGAGGUAUCACUCCUAGAUGAUUGGAUGCUACCAAAAAUAUUUCCCAAUGUCCCAGCUCAAAACACAAUAGUCUCAAGUAUCAAACAACUUCUUACUAGAACAUCCAAAUCAAGUUUGAUAGAUCAAGAAGUUUUAGGACAUCUUCCUCAACUAGUACUAAUAUAGACAUUCUUGACACUGGAAGACGUUCAGUCUCUUCCAUCUCCACUAGACUUCAUAACUUAGAUCUAUCCUUAAGGAUCCUUCAAGCAAUAUAAACAGUCCAAACAAAAACAGUUUCAAAAGAUCAAGGAGAAUCUUCUGAAGAAAACACGAUCCAUGGAGAUCUCUGGUAUAUCUUACAUACUCCACUAUGACAAACAAUCCAUUGUCAGAGCUGAAAGUUCUUACUACUGAGUACCAAAUUGACAAAAAAAAAAGCCUCAAAAAAGAAUUUUAUGCAAAACAUAGUCAAUUCAAGAGACGAUUGUUCUUUGACACGUGCAAAGAAGAAACCAAAAAAGUAAUAUGGGAAGUCUUCUACAGUUUUCUAAGAAGAAUAGAAUAGCAUAUCCAGUUCUUUAAUUGGUUUGAAGUCUAUGCCCUAAGAAACGAGAUAGAGUAUCCAUUCUCAUCAUCCAUUUGCAUUUUAAGAAAAUGGCAAACUUCAGAUGGAAAAAUUCACGCAGAAUUUCCUCCAUCAAAAAACAUUACUUUUUCAUACAAUUCCACAGAAAAUUAGUGCCAAACCAUUCAAAAUAAAAAAUGUCCAAGAAGAAGACCCUAUAAAUGCCAAAGACUUAAAUGUAAUACAUGAGCAAAACAAUUACACCAAUAAAUAUCUCAAACCCUUAGAGAAUACCUCCUUACUAGACCAAAAGCUUCUUCUUCCAUAACUACUUUUUCCUCCAAUCUCUUUUUCAGAUCAUAUGAAAUACUAAGCAAAUUUCAAAAAAUUUUCAAAACCAGCCUAUGGAUGAACUUGAAAAACGAAUUGCCAAAAUUGAACAAUCUGUUAUCAUUUCCAGAAACAAACAAAAGUCAGCAGAACAAGUCUCAACCUCCAUUAAUCAAACCUUUCAAAUAGUCAACCUAUAUUUGGAAAACUUGGAGUCUCCUACAUCAGUUAAUCUUGUCAAACAGCCAUCCCGUAUUUUGGAAGAACUCUUACUAGAAUCCCUACAUCAAUUAAUCAACCCCCAAACAAUCAGCAUGUGUCCUAAACGAACCUUCAGAACCCUUAACUUCCUCUUCUAACCGGGCAGCCAAACUCAACUUAACCAAACCUUCCCAUAACUCAACUCCAAAUUGGAAGAAUCCCAAAAAAUUCUAUUAUUCUACGACAACUUAUCGUGAUGUUCUUCUAGAAGAAAGACCAAACAUUCUUUAAAACUUUACAAUGCAAACAAUAUCUAUGAAUGGAGCAUAGGUAGAGUUUCUGAAUAUAAUAUAAUCACUAUUCUUCAACAAAUGACAAUGGUAGUUCUGGCGUACUGCACAACUCAUGGAUGUACUAAUCAACUUGAAGCUCAUGUCCUCAUAAUCAGAUUCUUAGGACAACUCAAAGAAUAGUGGGAUGAACAUCUCACUUCAUAACACAGAAAAAAUCUUGAAUGCAAUCAAACUUGAUACAGAUAGAGAACCAAUUCUACAGGAUGGUGACACUAUUCCAGAUACAGUUGCAACCCUAAUCUUUACCAUUGCAAAAACAUUUAUUAAUCAUCCGAGAAUAUUCAAAGACAAAUCUUCAAAAUUGCUAAACAACCUCAAAUGUGGGAAUCUUUCAAAUUUUUGAUGGUAUAAAGACACUUUCCUGACUUGUAUAUACGCCUAGACAGAUGAAAAUCAAGUUUAUUGGAAAGAAAAGUUCUGAGACGGUCUUCUCAAAUCAUUGAGAGAUCUUGUUUGCAAAUAAAUCCGGAUUCAAUAUGAUGGUAUGUACCUUGGGAAACAAUUAGUUAUGGACAGUUAACAAGCCAAGUUCAACAAGUCGCUCUGACGAUUUGUAGGCAAGACAAAAUGCUUAGACAACUUGCAAAGGAUCGAGCACAAAGAAUAAAAGACCUUAGUUCUUUCUAUGAACAAUUUGGCUUAUCUAGUUGCCAUUUAAAGGCUAAAAGGAAAUCUAAGCUUUCACCAAAACCUGCUCAAUAAAAGCAAAGAAAAACCUUACCUUAUAAACCUAGAAAACACAUUUCUUCUCCAAAUAUGAAUCCAACUACUAUACAACAUUUGCCACCAGCCUUACCAAUUACUAUUUGCCACAAAUGCAAACAACCUGGAUAUAUUGUUAGAUAUUACAAAAUGAAUAGAAGAAUUAGCAUGCUUGGUCUAGACGAGCAAGUGCUAAACCAACUAUCCAAUCUCCUUGCAAAAGCCAGCAGUGAUGAUUCAGAAUAAGAAGAAGAAAUUUAUGCAAACCAACUAGAGGAUGAUGAUGUUUCAUCUCUUUCACUACUAUUAGUGACGAAGAUGAAAGAAGGAACUGUAAAUGUCUUGACAAAAGAACAGGAUCUCCUCCUAGUUGUUAUUGAAACCAUUCCUAACCCUGAGAAGAAACAAUUUUAUCUUAAUAGAUUCAAAGAAUCCCUAAACAAACUACCAAAUACUUCCUCAAACCCAUUAACUAGAGAUCUUAAACUCCUCAAUACUUACAAUCUCACAGACAUUAUUAAUUGAAUCUUAUCUAAAUUGGUGAAACCAAUAUCAAUUCAAAACCUCCAGUUUGAAAUUGCUCUUCUCAAAGAGGAAAUUAGAGCAAUCAAGGAAAAACAAGAACUUAAUAGCCUUGUCCUACAAAACCAUGCUACCUCACAAUCAAAAUCCUUGAAAAUCUUACCAGAGAACUCAACCACACAAGAUGAUAUAGAAUUCCUAAACCGUCCAGAAUUUCUCACAAAAUUGUUGGUUCAGAUCAAGCUAGUUAUUUGGGAUGACUAUAUACUUAAAACAUAAACCCUCUUUGAUUUAGGAACUAACCUUAGUUUUAUUCAAGAAGGACUUGUUCCCACCAAAUUCUUUGAAACAACUAAGGAAGGACUCCGAGGAGCAAAUUGCUCUAAAUUAGACAUUCAUUUUAAACUCCCUAGUGUGACAAUCUAAUUUUUGACAGUUUUGAACAAAGAAAACUUUCUUCUAGCCAAUGACCUUUCAGACAAUAUAAUGCUAGGAAUUUUCUUCAUUUUAUCACUUGUUUCUUACCUAGUUACUCAUAAAGGAAUCGUGCCACAAAAUUAUGGCUCAGAAGCCCUUCUUCUUUUUUUCAAAAAAACUAAAACAAAAUUAGAUCCCUAGGCAAAACAUUCAAUCUAACCAAAGAAUUGUUUUCUAAUCUCUCUUGCAGGAAAAUAUCUAUUGAAGGAAGCUCAACGACCAACUCCCUCCAAACUCUUGGAGAAACUGAAGAACAUCUUUCUAUAAAACUUGCAAAUGAUGCUAUCUCACAUCUCAUGGCAGAUCAUUAUUCCUGUCAACAAAAAUAUGGAGAAUCUAGAAUUAGAAAUUAUGAUACUAUAUUCUAUGAUUGUGAAACCAAUGAUGGAUCCCUGUUUAACUCAAACACAAGCAUGACAAUGUUUGUAUAAGGCCUACAAACUCAAUUCAAAUCUUAAAAAUCAAUGCUUCACAAAGAUGAGAAAGGUCUAGAGGAUGAUUCUCGGUAGACAAUGGCUCAACAAACGAGGAGUUAAAGCAUCACAAUAUGAUGACUAGAUUCGAGAAAUAUUAGAAGAAAUAUUUGCAACCAUCUUCUAAAAGAUGCUCGAAAGAACUCUAAAAACUAAAGUAAAAAUGAAGAAAUCAACAAAGGAAUGCAACAAGCUGGCUGAACUUGCUAAUGCUGUCCCAAAAACUCAUAUCUAAAUCAAGAUAGUAGUUAGAACAAAAAAUUGAAGACAAGAAUAAUCAGAAAUAAUUUAGUUAGAAUUCACCGCAGUACUGAAAAUCACUAUAACAAUCAAACAAGUUAAUUUGCAAACAUGGCAGGAGAAAUUUGCAUUGUACACUGUAGCAAUACUAUGCGUUGUAGAACAAAAAUUUUGCUAUAAAAACCCCUCAAACUCAUCAUUUCAAACACACUAGUUCUUCAACUUACUUUUCUCUCUAAGUUGAAGAAUUCUCUCAUCCUUCUUCCUAGAAAACAUUUAGUUUAGGCUUUAGCUUGGAGUCAAACUUCAAUCAAGUUCCGAUCAAUCUUCAUUAUUGUAAGCUUCUAAACUCCAAACUUCAAUAAACUUCUUUUUAAAUUUGUCUUAUAUUGUUAUAUUAUCAAUGGUCGGUUAAGCCGCCUAGAUACUCUUAUUAUUUACUUUCCUUACUUUCUUGGUAUUAUACUUGCCACUAAUGGUCAGUUCAACCGUCUGAAUUCAUAGUGGCAAUUUUUCUAUGUCCCACUUCCGUACUCUGC
rnacentral:lncRNA from 1 species